GUCCCAAAUGAUGUUAAAGCUUACCGCCCCAGUCUGAUUCAAUUCAUGAUUGACUGGUAUUAUUCUGAGGGA